UGAAUACGAGAUGCUACGGCGUCGAAGCAGUCUAUGUCAUACUUCCAAGAAAAGCUUGCACUGUCAUAAACAAAUAAUGCCUGUACCAUAACCGACACAGGUGGGUAGGUAGAGUAUACUAAGGGGCGCGAGAUAACUCUCUCUAAGGAACUCGGCAAAAUGACUCCGUAACUUCGGGAGAAGGAGUGCCUUAUUUAUAAGGUUGCAAUAACAAGAUCCAAGCAACUGUUUACCAAAAACACAGGUCUCCGCUAAGUCGUAAGACGAUGUAUGGGGGCUGACGCCUGCCCAGUGCCAGAAGGUUAAAGAAGUUGGUUAGCAUCCGCGAAGCUGAUAACUGAAGCCCUGGUGAACGGCGGCCGUAACUAUAACGGUCCUAAGGUAGCGAAAUUCCUUGUCGGGUAAGUUCCGACCCGCACGAAAGGCGUAAUGAUUUGGAUACUGUCUCGGAGAGGGGCUCGGUGAAAUAGACUUGUCUGUGAAGAUGCGGACUACCUGCACCAGGACAGAAAGACCCUAUGAAGCUUUACUGUAACCUGAAAUUGAAAUUGGACUUUACUUGCGCAGUAUAGGUGGGAGGCGUUGAGAAUAUUCUUGCGGGAUUAUUGGAGCCAUCAGUGAGAUACCACUCUUGUAAUGUUAGAUUUCUAACUUUGUAUCAUUAUCUGGUCAAAGAACAGUUUCAGGCGGGCAGUUUGACUGGGGCGGUCGCCUCCUAAACGGUAACGGAGGCGCACAAAGGUUUCCUCUGAACGGGUAGAAAUCGUAUCUAGAGUGUAAAGGCAUAAGGAAGCUUGACUGUGAGACCUACAAGUCGAGCAGGGACGAAAGUCGGUCUUAGUGAUCUGACGGUGCUGAGUGGAAAGGCCGUCACUCAACGGAUAAAAGUUACUCUAGGAUAACAGGCUGAUCUCCCCCAAGAGUUCACAUCGACGGGGAGGUUUGGCACCUCGAUGUCGGCUCAUCGCAUCCUGGGGCGGUAGUACGUCCCAAGGGUUGGGCUGUUCGCCCAUGAAAGCGGUACGCGAGCUGGGUUCAGAACGUCGUGAGACAGUUCGGUCCAUAUCCGGUGUAGGCGUUAGAAUAUUGAGAGGAGCCUUCUUUAGUACGAGAGGACCGAGAAGGACAUACCUCUGGUGUACCAGUUAUCGUGCCAACGGUAAACGCUGGGUAGCUAUGUGUGGAGUGGAUAACCGCUGAAAGCAUCUAAGUGGGAAGCCCACCUCAAGAUAAGUA
rnacentral:rRNA from 1 species